rnacentral:rRNA from 1 species
UGCAGGCUUGCUUCUAUGUGAAACUCCUUCGAAGAGUCGAGUUGUUUGGGAAUGCAGCUCAAAAUGGGUGGUAAAUUUCAUCUAAAGCUAAAUAUUGGCGGGAGACCGAUAGCGCACAAGUAGAGUGAUCGAAAGAUGAAAAGCACUUUGAAAAGAGAGUUAAACAGUACGUGAAAUUGUUGAAAGGGAAGCGCUUGCAAUCAGACUCGCCUUCAGUUGAUCAGCCUUCCUUCUGGUUGGUGCACUCUGCUGUUGGUGGGCCAGCAUCAGUUGGGGCGGUGGGACAAAGGCGGCAGGAAUGUGGCUCGCUUCGGUGAGUGUUAUAGCCUGCCACGUCAUGCCACCAGCCCCGACUGAGGUCCGCGGUUCGCCUAGGAUGCUGGCUUAAUGGUUGU